CCUACACGACCAGUCUGAGGAUCUUAACGGGGAAUUUGGAGCUUUUAUCAGAAUGACGUUUUCCUUCAUGGAGUCUAAGGAAUAAGACAAAAGACCUAAAUCAGGGGCAACUGAGAAAAAAGAGCUCCCAUCAAAGGCAGGAAGCCAAACUAGAGAAGAGGGAAGAAGACUCAGCGAGCUGUAAAAUGGACACACAAGCCAGGAUGAGAAAAAAUCUUCAAAACGUUUUAGAAGAAAGGCAAGUUGCCUGUGAAGAAAGAAUACAGAAAACUAAAGAACUAUAAAGAAACCACAUUUGAAGGAUGAGAAGAAACUACCAGUGGAAGACAUGUGAAGACUGAACUUGGAAAGCAAACAAAAAAUAGAUGCGAACAACUAGGAAAUAUAAAAAUAAAGAAGUUGGACAUUAAGAUGCUUCUUUGUAGGGCUGAAAUAAAGUGCAAUUCUGGAUCUUGUGAAAAGAAGUGAAAGGAAGAAAAAGAAAAGGAAGAAAGUCUUUAAGGAAAAAGAGACACCAUAAUAAAAGCUAUGACUAU